rnacentral:rRNA from 1 species
AUUGAACGCUGGCGGCAGGCCUAACACAUGCAAGUCGAGCGAGCGGCGGACGGGUGAGUAAUGUAUGGGGACUGCCCGAUAGAGGGGGAUCACUACUGGAAACGGUAGCUAAUACCGCAUACUAUCGGAUAACCCAUAUGGGAUUAGCUAGUAGGUGAGGUAAUGGCUCACCUAGGCGCCGAUCCCCAGCUGGUCUGAGAGGAUGAUCAGGCCCACAGGGACUGAGAACCGGCCCAGACUCCUUCGGAGGCAGCAGGGGGGAGUAAUGCAGAAUGGGCGCAAGCCUGAUGCAGCCAUGCCGCGUGUAUGAAGAAGGCCCUAGGGUUGUAAAGUACUUUCAUUGGGGAGGCGUUACCGACAGAAGAGGCACCGGCUAACUCCGUGCCAGCUGCCGCAGUGAUGC